UACGUAGGGCGCAAGCGUUGUCCGGAAUUAUUGGGCGUAAAGAGCUCGUAGGCGGCUUGUCACGUCGAUUGUGAAAGCCCGAGGCUUAACCUCGGGUCUGCAGUCGAUACGGGCUAGCUAGAGUGUGGUAGGGGAGAUCGGAAUUCCUGGUGUAGCGGUGAAAUGCGCAGAUAUCAGGAGGAACACCGGUGGCGAAGGCGGGUCUCUGGGCCGAUAUUGACGCUGAGGAGCGAAAGCGUGGGGAGCGAACAGG
rnacentral:rRNA from 1 species